rnacentral:rRNA from 1 species
UACGUAGGGGGCAAGCGUUGUCCGGAGUUACUGGGCGUAAAGCGUGCGCAGGCGGUGAUGUAAGACAGGUGUGAAAUCCCCGGGCUUAACCUGGGAACUGCAUUUGUGACUGCAUCGCUGGAGUGUGGCAGAGGGGGGUGGAAUUCCGCGUGUAGCAGUGAAAUGCGUAGAGAUGCGGAGGAACACCGAUGGCGAAGGCAGCCCCCUGGGCUAACACUGACGCUCAGGCACGAAAGCGUGGGGAGCAAACAGG